rnacentral:rRNA from 1 species
GACGAACUGUGCAAACGUUAUUCGGAAUUACUGGGCGUAAAGGGCGCGUAGGCGGUGCUGUAAGUCAGGCGUGAAAUCCCCGGGCUCAACCUGGGAAUUGCGUUUGAUACUGCGGCGCUGGAAUGCGGGAGAGGAUGGCGGAAUUCCCAGUGUAGAGGUGAAAUUCGUAGAUAUUGGGAAGAACACCGGUGGCGAAGGCGGCCAUCUGGCCCGUAAUUGACGCUGAGGCGCGAAAGCGUGGGGAGCAAACAGG